UCAGAUCAGGUACAAUCACAUGUUGUUAAGUGUAUCUUAGUAGUAUUACAAUUCUCUCCAUCUCUCACACACCCACCCACACACACACACACACACACACACACACACACCCACACCCACACACACACACACACACACACACACGGAGGCGUGGUCACUUUUCCCUCUUCUCUCUCACGUCUCCUUCAGGCUCAGUUCCCUUCAGGCUUCUCUUCUCUUCUGUCAGUCUUCCUCACUUGCUCUUCAUCAUGUCUUCCUCCCCCUCCUCCCCCUCCUCCCCCCUGUGGAUGAAGGUUCUGCUGGUUCUGCUGACCAUGUGGUUAGUGGCCUCUGUGGCCCUGAUCGUGGUCUGGUCAUCCAAGCAGGAGCUGAACGCCUCUGCUGGGUGUGAACAGGACCUGGAGGAGAGGGAGAACCUGCAACUGCUGCUGUACGAGGCCCGACAGGACACAGAGAACCUGAGAGAGCGCAGAGUUUCCCUCCUGGGCGUCCUGGCCUCCACCAACAGCUCACUGUGGGACAGUCGCCAGGAGAAUGUCAUCCUCAGAGGGAACAUCAGCCUUCUGGAGCAGGAGGUGGAGACACUACGUCAGAAGGAGGAGAACCUCACUGCUCUGCUGCAGCAGCACCAAGAGCAGGUGGAGCUACUGGUUCAUAACGUCACUCAGACUGAGCUGGAGGUUCACGUCUGCUUCAAUCUGAAGGAAGCAGCUCAGAGUCACAUGACCGCGGCUCAGAGCCAGACCGAGGCCUGUAGGAGGGACCAGGACUUCCUGCAUAGACAACUGUCUAAGUGUAAACUAUCUGAGAGCCACGCCUCUAAGCCAGAAGCUCCUCCCAAUGACUCCUCCUGCCCCUCCCCUGGCCUGUCAGUGAUGAUGACGAUGAUGAUGCUGAUCAGCGCUCUUCAUCUGACCACCUGAGUUUAGGAUGAGGGGGCGGAGCCUGGACUGACCCCUGCUGUACACACACACACACACACACGCACACACACACACACACACACACUCCAUCAGAGGUGUUUAUUGUGUCUGCUCUCCACUGACCUCCAGUGGCCAGAGGAGGAACAGCAGCUGUAUCAGAUGUUCCAGAUGAUGGUGAUGAUGAAGAUGGUGAUGAUGAUGAAGAUGAUGAUGAUGCAGCAGUGAAAACAUUGUCUGAAUGAAUAAAGCUUAAGGUGUGAGUUGGAGUCGUGUUUCU
rnacentral:lncRNA from 1 species